GUACAUUAAAUAAAGGCAAACAUUGUCUGUCUUAUAAAAUAAUGGAAAAAAAAAUUUGUUUCUGCAGGCUGCAAUUUAUGCCAUACAAAGGCAAAUAUAUUUAUUUUAUUCAAAUUCGGUUUAACCAUGCAAGUUAUUCUGCAGUUUGAAUGCUGUACUAUGCCUAUGUUUUUGUCAAAAUUAAAUGAAUUGUUAAUAAUGCAAUUGCGCAGGCAUGAUGAAAAGACAGAAAGUGCUUUACAGUAAUUAUGCUUCAUGUUUGUUGUUUAUCUUUACAUUUUAGAGUAACCAAAUGUAUAAUGCACAAAUUAUGCAUACUGCACUUUACGUGUCCUGCAGCCAAAAUAACUAAUAAUAACUUUUGUUUUAGCUUGCAUUACUUUUUUUUUUUUUUUUACUUCUUUUUUAGCUUGCAUUUCUGGGUAACUUAUUUAGGAAAUAUUUUUUUCUUAAUUCUAAUUUAUUAUGGUAAUUUCUGCACUAAUGCAUUUAUAAGACAAAUAUAUUUAUAUAAGUAACAACCAAAUAAUAGUAACUGUCCUCUGUUCUCUCUCUCUCUCUCCCUCACCUUGGUCAUCUUGCCCUCUUCCUUUCUCUUUUUAUUGUAGAGAGGAGAUGCCUCUCUGUCCCUCUCUCUUUCUCUCUCUCUCUCUCCAUUUGUGGCAUCCUGUUGUCCUCUCUGUGUCCACUGUCUCAGGUCAUGGCAGUGAGAGGGCGGGGAGGAGGGAGGAGGUGCAGGGUGAGCCAGAGGGGCGCAGGGCCGAAAACAAUGGGAGCGCAGAGCAAGGAUUGUGGGAGAAAAUCUCGGCUGGAGCCACUGAGUCUGGAGCUCCCCUCUCCUCUCCCAUCCAGCUUUUGUUCUGCUGCAGAGGCAUCAGCACUUCCUACCGACUGCAACAAUAACUCCACACAGCUGGGCUCUUUAAUCUUGUUUACAGCACAUCAAGCAGGGAAAUGUACUGGUGGCAGUAACGCCCUUUAUCGCCAUGGAAAUGAACCUUGGAAGGCUGGACACAGGAAGUGGCUUGUGAGAGAAGUUGGGCAGCCAGCCGGCGACUUGAUGAUAAGGAGGAAGGACAUUCCAGGAAUAUUUUGCCACCUUCUAACUACCGCUGCUAUUAUAUUUUAAGGCAAUCACCACAAAUUAUGCUGUAUAGCACUUAUGCUGCUGCAAUAACAGAGAUUAUACGGUUUUGUUUAGUGGCUGUCCCCCUCAAUCACUGUUAAGCAAAAUAUAGCUGUUUGGAAAAAAGCC
ensembl:lncRNA